rnacentral:rRNA from 1 species
CCUACGGGCGGCAGCAGUGAGGAAUAUUGGUCAAUGGACGAGAGUCUGAACCAGCCAAGUAGCGUGAAGGAUGACUGCCCUAUGGGUUGUAAACUUCUUUUAUAUGGGAAUAAAAUGUUCCACGUGUGGGAUUUUGUAUGUACCAUAUGAAUAAGGAUCGGCUAACUCCGUGCCAGCAGCCGCGGUCAUACGGAGGAUCCGAGCGUUAUCCGGAUUUAUUGGGUUUAAAGGGAGCGUAGGUGGAUUGUUAAGUCAGUUGUGAAAGUUUGCGGCUCAACCGUAAAAUUGCAGUUGAAACUGGCAGUCUUGAGUACAGUAGAGGUGGGCGGAAUUCGUGGUGUAGCGGUGAAAUGCUUAGAUAUCACGAAGAACUCCGAUUGCGAAGGCAGUUCACUGGACUGCAACUGACACUGAGGCUCGAAAGUGUGGGUAUCAAACAGGAUUAGAUACCCGUGUAGUC